rnacentral:rRNA from 1 species
GAUGAACGCUGGCGGCGUGCUUAACACAUGCAAGUCGAACGGAAAGGCCCAAGCUUGCUUGGGUACUCGAGUGGCGAACGGGUGGGUAACACGUGGGUGAUCUGCCCUGCACUUCGGGAUAAGCCUGGGAAACUGGGUCUAAUACCGGAUAGGACGAUGGUUUGGAUGCCAUUGUGGACAGUUUUUUCGGUGUGGGAUGAGCUCGCGGCCUAUCAGCUUGUUGGUGGGGUAAUGGCCUACCAAGGCGUCGACGGGUAGCCGGCCUGAGAGGGUGUACGGCCACAUUGGAACUGGGAUACGGCCCAGACUCCUACGGGAGGCAGCAGUGGGGAAUAUUGCACAAUGGGCGCAAGCCUGAUGCAGCGACGCCGCGUGGGGGAUGACGGCCUUCGGGUUGUAAACUCCUUUCGCUAGGGACGAAGCGUUUUUGUGACGGUACCUGGAGAAGAAGCACCGGCUAACUACGUG